rnacentral:rRNA from 1 species
AGCGAACGCUGGCGGCAGGCCUAACACAUGCAAGUCGAACGGACCUUUCGGGGUCAGUGGCGGACGGGUGAGUAGCACGUGGGAACGUGCCUUUAGGUUCGGAAUAGCUCCUGGAAACGGGUGGUAAUGCCGAAUGUGCCCUUAGGGGGAAAGAUUUAUCGCCUUUAGAGCGGCCCGCGUCUGAUUAGCUAGUUGGUGAGGUAAUGGCUCACCAAGGCUACGAUCAGUAGCUGGUCUGAGAGGAUGACCAGCCACAUUGGGACUGAGACACGGCCCAAACUCCUACGGGAGGCAGCAGUGGGGAAUCUUGCGCAAUGGGCGAAAGCCUGACGCAGCCAUGCCGCGUGGAUGAUGAAGGUCUUAGGAUUGUAAAAUCCUUUCACCGGUGAAGAUAAUGACUGUAGCCGGAAGAAGAAGCCCCGGCUAACUUCGUGCCAGCCGCCGCCGUAA